GUAGGACCUGUGCAGUGUGAGUGGAGGACUGCUUAACAACACUGUCGCUUUGAAACAUCCUGUAAAGAGAAGUGUCGCAAGGCUUGAAAACAUUAAAGGAGACAUGUUAUGCUUAUUUUUAGGUUCAUCGUUUUAUUCUGUCGGUCUACUAGAAUGUGUUUUGUGUUUUUAAUGUUCAAAAAACUCAUUAUUUUGGUGUCUGAAACGCUCCGGUUGAGCUCCUGUCUCUUUAAGACCCCCCUCCCCUGAAAAGCCCAGUCUGCUCUGAUUGGUCAGCAUUAUGACGCUGAUGACGCUCCGGCCCUCCCACUUCCGCCUCAGCGUCGCUGGUGUUUUGGCAGACAGCUCCUCACUGCUGCUGAGUUUAUCUGCAUUUCUACCUCAAUAUUAAUUCAAUUACUGCUUCGAAACCAACAACUUCACCAGUGGACAUGUUAGAGCCGGAGUCUGACCUGAAAUCACAGAGAAAGGAACAACAUCAACAAUCAGGAUUACAGCUUUCUGUGACGUUUUCCUCAGGUACAGCAGUGACCUACAGUCUACACAGCCCAGUGAAGUUAAACAUAUUUGUUGUGAGGAGCUAAAGAGGUAACGUGUUAUUGUUGUUAAUGUAGCAUAGUAUAUUAUGUAAAGAGUAAUUACCCAGAUGUGGGGCUGUUACCAUAUGAAACAGACAAUACAUUAGUCAAGGAAUUGUUUCUAGUGAAGAAACACCCAGUAAAUGUACCAAAGUAAUCAGAGUAAUAGUGUAAUGUUUAUCAAAUAUUUGUAAAAGCUGCAAUUAUGUUUUAACCCCUUUUAAAAUACUGCAUAUAUACUGAAUAUUUUAUCAUUUAUGUUAUUGUAUCAUUUAUAUUAUAUAUUAUGUCAUUUAUCUGUCAACAUUAUAAUAAAGUCGGACUGUGAAACAGAAA